rnacentral:rRNA from 1 species
UACGGAGGGUGCAAGCGUUAAUCGGAAUUACUGGGCGUAAAGGGCGCGCAGGCGGCCGCCCGCGUCGGACGUGAAAGCCCGGGGCUCAACCCCGGAACGGCGUCCGAUACGGGGCGGCUCGAGGCCGGGAGAGGGGGGUGGAAUACCCAGUGUAGAGGUGAAAUUCGUAGAUAUUGGGUGGAACACCGGUGGCGAAAGCGGCCCCCUGGCCCGGUCCUGACGCUUAGGCGCGAAAGCGUGGGGAGCAAACAGG